AGGGAAUCUUCCGCAAUGGACGAAAGUCUGACGGAGCAACGCCGCGUGAGUGAUGAAGGUUUUCGGAUCGUAAAGCUCUGUUGCCAGGGAAGAACGUCCUGUAGAGUAACUGCUACAGGAGUGACGGUACCUGAGAAGAAAGCCCCGGCUAACUACGUGCCAGCAGCCGCGGUAAUACGUAAGGGGCAAGCGUUGUCCGGAAUUAUUGGGCGUAAAGCGCGCGCAGGCGGCUGUUUAAGUCUGGUGGUUAAUCCUGGGGCUCAACCCUAGGUCGCACUGGAAACUGGGCAGCUUGAGUGCAGAAGAGGAGAGUGGAAUUCCACGUGUAGCGGUGAAAUGCGUAGAGAUGUGGAGGAACACCAGUGGCGAAGGCGACUCUCUGGGCUGUAACUGACGCUGAGGCGCGAAAGCGUGGGGAGCAAAC
rnacentral:rRNA from 1 species